AUCCAGCUGGUGAGUCCAAAAUAGGGCGAAAUGUGUGUCCUGUAU
rnacentral:hammerhead_ribozyme from 1 species